CCCACAAGUCCCAGGAGCCUGCGCGUUAAAGUAAGCCGCGCAGCAGCUUUCCCGCCGGUUUUCUGCGUAAUGUAGCACGGCGGCCACGCCGCGGGGUGGAGCGCAUGUGGCGGUGUCCUUGCCGGAUGCGAAAGGAGGUGCCAGAAACUUUAAACCCCGGCCAGAAGACAACGUGUCCACUUAGACGGCGGACUCGUUUCACAAUGGCAGGAUUUGGGGGAUCUCCAGUGAGCAGGAGAGCAAGUUACUGUGUAUCUUGCCUUAGAAGAGGAGACCCAAUCAGCCCUGAAUCCAGCUGCAGUAAUGCCAUAAGAAGCCAAAACCACAUGGAGAGGCUGUGUGUAGCUGCCUCGACUCAACGCUCAGCUGACAGCCCACAUCAACUGCCAACCAUGUGAGAGAGCCGUUUCGGACUUGCAGCCCAUCCAGCCUUCAGAUGACUCCAGCCCCAACUGAUAGCCAACUGUGACCACGUGAGAAGCACCCAGCUGAGCCCAUUCAACCCGCAGAAGUAUGAAAGAUAAUAAUAAAUUCUCCUGUUAAGCCUCUAAGUUGUUUUGUAGUCAGCAGAGGCACAAAGGCAUUGUAUUGUGAUGGGCCCCUCUCCCUAUAGGAUUGGUGAGAAGGGACAGGGGACAGCGAGCCCGUUGGAGUUUUCUCCUUGGUCCCUACUUGUCCAUAAGCAGCACCUGUCCCUCUGUUCCUGUCCUCCAGCAGGUAAAUACCAGGAAAACCUCCCUUGGUGAGGUGGGGAGAUGAGAGACAGUCCAGGAGGCAAGUUUAAUUUGAGGGCUGGAGGUGAGGAAUAAAACGUCCAUUUUGGUCUUAGAUCCAAACCGCGGUUUCCAGUCUAACUUUAUCCUCGCUAUAAAGUUAUUUUCAUCCCAGACUCCUGUGUCUGUUUUUUAAAUUGGUUCAGAAAACUCAGGGAAAAAGGAUAAAAUUAUUUUUCCUCUUCAGACCCCAACAAGCAACCUUCUUCCUUUCUCACAGGCUAGAAAGCAAAGUUUAAUUUUUUAAAAAUUUCACCCUGCUUCAUCGUCUAAAAAUCAAGUGUGCCCUCCAUUCUUGUUACGUGGUUUUGUGAAACGCCUCUCCCCUGUGCCUCCUUUUGGCUUUCCUGGUCCCUGCCCCAGCUCAGAGCCUCACUGCCACAUGGUUUCACUUCUACGGCGGCCUCCCGGUCUGCACCUCCCUACCUCUGCAACCCCCAUCCACGUGCUGUUACAAGCUAAGAUUUCCACCGCCACAUUCACUUAUCAUGCUGAUCCCCUUGCUGAAGACCUGAUCUGCCGCCUCGGGUCCAGUUCUAGGCCCUCCAUGAUAAUUCGCUUGAUGAUAGCUAAUAGCCCUUCAAGCUAAUCUUCCAAACAUUCUGUAAGGCAAAUUUUACUUCACACCAGACUCAUUGCUGCUUCCUUCUUUUAUCUUGUCCUCCCUCUUCAGAUUAGAUGGUGUUCGCUCUCUCCCUUCUCUGAAUUCCCCUAGUCCCUUAGGAAGCAGGACUCACAGGGUUCAUGGCUGAUUAUUCUUUGGCCUUCCAAGUGCCCCAAAUUCUAAUUGCUUGAGGACAUGUUCCCCAGUGUGCUCCUCGAUAAACACUAUUGGACUCAUGUUUACUCUCUGUGUAAACAGCCAGUGAGAUUCUGUGGUCUUGAUGGAAUAAACG